UACGGGGGGGGCAAGCGUUGUUCGGAAUUACUGGGCGUAAAGGGCGCGUAGGCGGCCUGCUAAGUCGAACGUGAAAUCCCUGGGCUCAACCCAGGAACUGCGUCCGAUACUGGUUGGCUUGAAUCCGGGAGAGGGAUGUGGAAUUCCAGGUGUAGCGGUGAAAUGCGUAGAUAUCUGGAGGAACACCGGUGGCGAAGGCGGGUCUCUGGGCCGAUACUGACGCUGAGGAGCGAAAGCCAGGGGAGCGAACGGG
rnacentral:rRNA from 1 species